AUGGAGGCAAAGAGGCCAAGGUCGGCCGCCAUGGCCGCGCUGUGCGUGCUCCUCCUCCUGGUGCUGCUGCCCGGGGAGGUGGCCGCCAAGUCCAAGUUCUGCCGGUGCUUCGACGACUGCUUCCCCGGGUGCGUGAACAAAAAGGUGCCGCACUUCCUCUGCCAACUGUUCUGCGCCAACAAGUGCAGCCCCAAACAGGCGGCCGUCCGCGGCGACGCCAUGUGCAGGAUGGCCUGCAGCAAGCUGGGCAUCAAAAUCUGCGGCUGGUCAGCAGCGCUGGCUGAUGCAACUGACGCCCAAGUCUGCGCGCAGAACUGCAACAGGAGACUGAGGCACAUGGCCCGUACCAAUUAA
rnacentral:rRNA from 1 species